rnacentral:rRNA from 1 species
GGAGGAAAGUAGGGGAUCGAAAGACCUUGCGCUAAAGGAGCGGCUGAUGUCUGAUUAGCUAGUUGGUGAGGUAAAGGCUUACCAAGGCGACGAUCAGUAGCUGGUCUGAGAGGACGGCCAGCCACACUGGGACUGAGACACGGCCCAGACUCCUACGGGAGGCAGCAGUGGGGAAUUUUGGACAAUGGGCGAAAGCCUGAUCCAGCCAUGCCGCGUGAGUGAAGAAGGCCUUCGGGUUGUAAAGCUCUUUUAGUCGGAAAGAAAAAAUCAUGGUUAAUAGCCAUGAUUUAUGACGGUACCGACAGAAAAAGCACCGGCUAACUACGUGCCAGCAGCCGCGGUAAUACGUAGGGUGCGAGCGUUAAUCGGAAUUACUGGGCGUAAAGGGUGCGCAGGCGGCCUUGUAAGUCAGAUGUGAAAGCCCCGGGCUUAACCUGGGAAUUGCGUUUGAAACUACAAAGCUAG